GUGGGGAAUCUUGCGCAAUGGGCGAAAGCCUGACGCAGCCAUGCCGCGUGAAUGAUGAAGGUCUUAGGAUUGUAAAAUUCUUUCACCGGGGACGAUAAUGACGGUACCCGGAGAAGAAGCUCCGGCUAACUUCGUGCCAGCAGCCGCGGUAAUACGAAGGGGGCUAGCGUUGCUCGGAAUUACUGGGCGUAAAGGGCGCGUAGGCGGACAGCUUAGUCAGAGGUGAAAGCCCAGGGCUCAACCUUGGAAUUGCCUUUGAUACUGGCUGUCUUGAGUUUGGGAGAGUUGAGUGGAACUCCGAGUGUAGAGGUGAAAUUCGUAGAUAUUCGGAAGAACACCAGUGGCGAAGGCGACUCACUGGCACAAUACUGACGCUGAGGCGCGAAAGCGUGGGUAGCAAACAGGAUUAGAAACCCUUGUAGUCC
rnacentral:rRNA from 1 species